rnacentral:rRNA from 1 species
CCGUAGGUGAACCUGCGGAAGGAUCAUUAACGAAUAAACUUGAACAGGCUGUUGCUAGCUCUCCUGGGGGCAUGUGCACGCUUGUCAUCUUUGUUUCUCCAACUGUGCACACAUUGUAGACCUCGAGUUUGGGAUUGCCAUCGCGGCUUUCUUUGCUUUUUUGCCUUCAGGUCUAUGUCAUUUUUCACAAACCAAUGAAUCUGUUUAGAAUGUUGAAUCAGGUCAUUUUUUGUACCUAUAAAGUUAUAAACAACUUUCAGCAACGGAUCUCUUGGUUCUCGCAUCGAUGAAGAACGCAGCGAAAUGCGAUAAGUAAUGUGAAUUGCAGAAUUCAGUGAAUCAUCGAAUCUUUGAACGCAUCUUGCGCUCCUUGGUAUUCCGAGGAGCAUGCCUGUUUGAGUGUCAUUUCGACUUCUCAACCACAGCUGGAUUCAUUUUCUGGAUGCGGCUUGGAUGUGGGGGGGUUAUAUUUUGUGCAGGCCUCUGAGGUCUGCUCCCCUGAAAAGCAUUAGUGGUAUCCGAGCAGAGAAACUACUACAGGUGUGAUAAUUUAUCUAUGCCCAUGGUAUUCUGCAUGAAUGGAUUGCGCUGCUUCUAAACAAACAUUUGACAAAUUUGACCUCAAAUCAGGUAGGACUACCCGCUGAACUUAAGCAUAUCAAUAAGCGGAGGAA